rnacentral:rRNA from 1 species
GACGAACGCUGGCGGCGUGCUUAAUACAUGCAAGUCAACUGAACUUAGGAUAGCAAUAUUUUAAGGGAGGUGGCGCACGGGUGAGUAACACGUAGGUAAUCUGCCUUUAGGUCUGACAUAACCUACCGAAAGGUAGGCUAAAAUCAGAUGAUGCAGCGGCUCGACAUCGAGACAGUUGUUAAAUCUUCGGAGCCUAAAGAUGAGCCUGCGUCUGAUUAGGUAGUUGGCGGUGUAAUGGACCACCAAGCCUGCGAUCAGUAGCUGGUCUGAGAGGAUGAUCAGCCACACUGGAACUGAGACACGGUCCAGACUCCUACGGGAGGCAGCAGUAAGGAAUAUUGCUCAAUGGCCGAAAAGGCUGAAGCAGCAACGCCGCGUGGAGGAUGAAAUACUUUUGUAUGUAAACUCCUGUAAGAAGGGAAAAAUAUGCAGUUUUUCUGCAUUGAUUGACCUUCAAGAGUAAGCCCCGGCUAACUACGUGCCAG